UUAGUGAAAUAGAAGUUGCUGUUUAUCUUUACUAAUAGAAAAAAAUAUAACUGCGUUUGCUGCAUGAGUUAAUCGUACACAAUAAAAUUAAGGAAUUAUAUUAGAUUUUUGAGAAAAUACCACUUGAACUACAUGCAGGGAGGGUCAAGUGGUAUCAUACUUGCAAGUAGGUUGUCUAUAUGCCUUAGUUCAUAUCUCCGUCAACCGUGGUGCUCUCGACUCUGCAAGCCCAUGCCUAGUGCAGGCAUCUUAAAGCAGUCGGGCUCUCAGCAAAUUCAGAAGGAUAAAACUCCUCCACGGGAAGAAUACCUUACAUUGUUAGGGGUUCAAUUGUCUUAUUUACAAAAGAGAGAUUUGGAGGUUGGCCACAUCUUCUCUUUUGCAUGCUAAUAUUGGAAGCCUUAUGGUCAAUUGUUAUUCUUUGAAUUCUGUUGGACCUACUAUGGAAAUUUAAGCGGUCCAAGGAGAUUCCUUGUAGUUUACUUCACCUCUUCUCUUUCAAGUAACAACUCUUAAACUCAUUACAGUAUCUUAUAGAUUGCUGGUUGUGCAAAGCACCUGCAAUUGGUGCAUUAGGUGCAAUCUCUGGAUUAGUAAGUCAUCUUGAAGUUAUUCGCAAAAUAAGAUUAAUGUUCAUAAGAACCUGUUCCAACUAAUGAUUGUCCGCUUUUAAAAUCUAGGUUUUCUUUCUUUUUGUUUUGUUUUCUUUUCUUUUUUUUGCUUGGGAAAUCAAUCGUUUGCUUUUAUCGCCAGUCUUUUUCUCAUUUUACAAUCUCUUGGCUGUUUAAGUUGGUUUUGUUGCUGUGUUCGUCUUGAGACAGAGGUUUGAUCAGAGAUGCCAAAGAAGAUCUGCAGCACAUGGCACAAGUUAUUUUCCCAAACACGGUAGAUAUGAAACACAAACUUCCCCUUUGUUAAUUUUCUCCGUAAUAAAGUGGCGAUCAAUUUCCACAUGCUUGGUACGGUCAUGGUGUACAGGGUUAUGAGCUAUGCUAACUGCUGCCUGGCUGCCUGGAUGCCAAAGAAGAUAUGCAACACAUAGCACAAGUUAUUUCCCCAAACAUUGAGUUAUUUCGCUACUCUAUGUUUGAGAGCCUAAAACCACUUAUCAAAAAACCCGUCUCAUACAUACCAAAUGCAGUCCCUAGAGUUAGAUGCCUUCGUAAGUCUAGAUUUAAUCAAGUUUCUGCCAUGUUACUGCUUGAUACAAUGAUUUCCUUGAAGAAAAUCGUAGUAUCUAGUAAUCCUCCAGCCUACUUUCUUAGUGCAUCAAGUUCUUUUGCUCUUAUUUUUCUGAGCUCGGUGGUAAUGAAUGUUGAUCAUGCAGGUUAUUAGGCCAAUGUCAAGAGGCGUCGAUAAUUGUGGUUAUGUAAGUCUCAACUACAAUGCCUUCUUGUACAUGUACUUGUAGUAUACCUGUAUUUAAAGUAACGGUUGUGUAUCAUAAGAAUCUCCUUAUACUUCAUUAAUACAGACAUUUACAGUUUUACUUACGAGAUUGUUUAACACCUUAACUUACAAUUUCAGAUAGGAGGCUUGAUUUUAGGAGCAGCAAUUUACUAGUCUGUAUGACCUCCAUGUAAAUAUGCUUCUAUGGCCAGCAAUGGCCAAAGAUUAUUCUCAGAUUGACAAGUAUUUUUUUACCUUUCUGACAGAAAGCUGAAACCUUGAUGAACCAGUCUAAAGGCCAGUUUUUAGCAUUGCUUCUAAGAAGCACUUUUGGGGAGAAGCUAAAAUUUUCUGCUUCUGUCAAAAGCACUUUUGGGCCAAUUUUUGGGUUUUGAAAAGCACUUUUUCUCUCAAAAAGCAUCUUGUUUAGCAAUGCUUUUAUCUCAGAAGUGUUUUUUGUCCCAAAAGUACUUCUUAGAAGCAAUGCUAAACUGGCCCUAAGUAUUGACAAUUGUGACACUGGUUCGGAUUUAAAUUGGUUGUAGAUAUACCAUAUGCAAAGUAUUACAAGGGGUUUGCAAGGUAGAAGUGAAUUCUAAUCAAAUCAGUGAUUUACCAGAAAUAAUCGAAGGGAUGUUCCCUAGCUAUUUUCUGAUGAAUCACUGACCGUUCAGAGUUCACCACCAGUUCUGUGUUGCAUUUUAGCAAAACAAUCUGUGUUCUGAUAUCUGCAGUGUAGUGGAGUUUGAAGUGAAGAUAGCCCUUUUCUUAUAUUGAAGCUCGUUGAAUCUUUACCGUUCAUUUAUGAUUAUUACACUUAAUCAUAUCCAUUAAAAAAAAGGGAAACUUAAUUAAUGCUAACAUUUAUAAAAAUUCCUUCUAUGGCAAUAGGCAUAUCCACCACCUACCACUUUAGAUUAUCAUUUAGAGUUAGUGCAUUAGAAGAUGCUGUUAUAUUUACUAUUACAAAAAAAUAUAACCGCGUUUGGUGCAUGAGUUAAUUGUACACAAUAAAGUUGUAGAAUUGUAUUAGAUUUUUGAGCAAAUACCACUUGAGCUACAUGCAGGGAGGCUCAAGUGGUCAAGUAGGUUGCCUAUAUGCCUUAGGUUGGUGCUUCAAGCCUCCUCACACGUAAAUGAUUUCCAUAAUUAAUGUUACACUAUAUAUUGACACCUCUCCAGUGAGUUUUGCAGGUCAUAUGUCCGUGAAUGCGGAAGGACAAAGAAAAAGGUUUGGAAAUGAUACUGUCUGUCCUUCGUGUUGAUCUUACUUAUUCUUCAAUGCAGAAGAACAAAGAAAAAAGUUUGGAAAUGCUGGAAAUAGUGGAUCAUCCAAGAUAUGUACUUACAGGAGGAAUUCAUUGAACACAAGGAAAUUGCCCAUUGUGAGUUUUCGCUUGUGAAAACAAUUACAUGUUCAUUCAACAAAGGAUUGAAUUGUCUGUAUAAAAACAAAAAGUAAAUUAUAUAAUUUGCAGAAUUUAUGUUGCACAAUUGGCAACACAAGGGAAGCUCUUGCUUUGGUUUCAUUAUAGUUUUAGAAACUGUGGGUUGAUAUUUGAUUACCGGUUAUGCAUAUUGUAUUUGGACUCGGUCAAAGAAAACUAGGUGCCACUACAAGUUACUGGUUCUUCCAAGCACCCGCAGUUGGUACAUCAGGCACAAUAUUUAGAUUAGAAAGUCACCUCGAACUUAUUCGCAAAAUAAGAUUAAUGUUCAUAAGAACCUCUUCCAACUAAUGCAUGUCUGCCUUGAAAUUUAGAUUUUCUUUUGAAAUAGAUUUUUUGCUUUUAUUGCGUGUCUUUGUCUCAUUUGACAUUCUCUUGGUUGUCUAGGUUGGUUCCGUUGCUGUGUUUGUAACGAGAUAUAGAGGUAUGAUCAGAGAUGCCAAACAAGAUCUGCAACACAGCACAAGUUAUUUCGACAAGCCCAGUAUGAUUCUAAGUUUUCGCUAACCUAAAACCAUAUAAUUAACCAUCAAAAAACCGGUCUCAUACAUACCAAAUGCAGUUCCUAGAGUUUGAUGCAGCAGUUUACUGGUCUGUAGGACCUGCAUGGAAGUAUGAAUCUAUGGCCAGCAAUGGCCAAAGAAUAUUCUCAGACUGAAAACCACUUUUUACCUUACUGACAGAAAGCUGAAACCUCGAUGAACCAGUGUAAGCAUUGACAAUUGCGACACAGGCUCUGAUUUUAAUUGGUUGCAGCUAUAUUAUAUGCAAAGUAUAGCAAGGGGUUUGCAAGGAAGAAGUGAAUUCUAAUCGAACCAGUGAUUUACCAGAAAAUAAUCGAAGGGAUGAUGGUGAUUUCCCUAGCUAUAUUCUGAUACAUCACUGACCGUUCAGAGUUCGUCACCAUUUCUGUAUUGCAAUUUAGCAAAACAACCUGUUUUCUGAUAUCUGUAGUGUAGUGAAGUUUGGAGUGAAGAUGGCCCUUUUUUUAUAUUGAAGUUCGUUGAAUCUUGACCCUUGAUUUAUGAUUAUUACACUUAAUCAUAUCCGUUAAAAAAUGGGAAACUUAAUUAAUGCUAACAUUUAUAAAAAUUCCUUAUAUGGCAUUAUGCAUAUCCACCAGACCAGCACCUACCACUUUAGAUUAUCAUUUAGUGUUAGUGAAAUAGAAGUUGCUGUUUAUCUUUACUAAUACAAAAAAAUAUAACCGCUUUCUGUGCAUGAGCUAAUCGUAGACAAUAAAAUUAUGGAAUUAUAUUAGAUUUUUUAGAAAAUACAACUUGAACUACAUGCAGGGAGGGUCAAGUGGUAUCAUACUUGCAAGUAGAUUGCCUAUAUGCCUUAGGUUGAUGCUUCAAGCCUCCUCACACAUAAAUGAUUUCCAUAAUUAAUGUUACACUAUAUAUUGACACCUCUCCAGUGAGUUUUGCAGGUCAUAUCUCCGUCAACCGAGGUGCUCUUGACUCUACUAACCCACGCCUACGGCAGGCCUCUUAAAGCAGUUGGGCUCUCAGCAAAUUCAGAAGGAUAAAACUACGCCACUGGAAGAAUACAUUACAUUGUUAGGGGUUCAAUUGUCUUAUUGACAAAAGAGAGAUUUGGAAGUUGGCCACGUCUUCUCUUUUGCAUGCUAAUAUUGGAAGCCUUAUGGUCAAUUGUUAUUCUUUGAAUUCUGAUGGACCUACUAUGGAGAAUUUAAGCGGUCCAAGGAGAUCCCUUGCAGUUUACUUCACCUCUGCUCUUUCAAGUAACAACUCUUAAACUCAUUACAGUACCUUAUAAAUAGCUUGUUGUGCAAAGCACCUGCUGUUGGUGCAUUAGGUGCAAUCUUUGGAUUGAGAUAUGAUCAGAGAUGCCCAAGAAGAUCUGCAGCACAUGGCACAAGUUAUUUUCCCAAACACGCUAUGUGGCUUCUUGGAGGAGCAGCAGUGUCCUGGCUUAUAGGACCUGCAUGGAAGUACGAUUUUGACUCAGCCAAAGAAAACUAGGUGCCACUACAAGUUACUGGUUCUUCAAAGCACCCGCAGUCGAUACAUCAGGCGCAAUAAUUGGUUGAUUAAGUCAUCUCGAACUUAUUCGCAAAAUAAGAUUAAUGUUCAUAAGAACCUGUUACAACUAAUGAUUGUCUGCCUUGAAAAUCUAGGUUGUUUCUGUUGCUGUGUUUGUAUUGAGACAUAGAGGUAUGAUCAGAGAUGCCAAAGAAGAUAUGCAACACAUAGCACAAGUUUUUUCCCCAAAUAUGGUUAUUAGGCUUAUGUCAAGAGGCGUCGAUAACUGUGGUUAUAUAGGAGGCUUGAUUUGAGGAGCAGCAGUUACUGGUCUGUAGGACCUGCAUGGAAGUAUGAAUCUAUGGCCAGAAAUGGCCAAAGAAUAUUCUCAGACUGAAAACCAGUUUUUACCUUACUGACAGAAAGCUGAAACCUUGAUGAAUCAGUCUAACGGCCAGUUUUUAGCAUUGCUUCUACGAAGCACUUUUGGGCAAAAAGCUAAGAUUUUCUGCUUCUGUCAAAGGCAGUUUUGGUCCAAUUUUUGGGUUUUGAAAAGUACUUUUUCUCUCAAAAAGCAUCUUUUUUAGCAAUGCUUUUAUCUCAAAAGUGUUUUUUGUCCGAAAAGUGCUUCUUAGAAGCAAUGCUAAACUGGCCUUAAGUAUUGACAACUGUGACACCGGCUCUAAUUUAAAUUGGUUGUAGAUAUACUUUAUGCAAAGUAUUACAAGGGGUUUGCGAGGUAGAAGUUAAUUCUAAUCGAAUCAGUGAUUUACACGAAACAAUCGAAGGGAUGAUAAUGAUUUCCCUAGCUAUUUUCUGAUAAAUCACUGACCGUUCAGAGUUCACCACCAUUUCUGUGUUGCAUUUUUGCAAAACAAUCUGUGUUCUGAUAUCUGUAGUGUAGUGGAGUUUGAAGUGAAGAUAGCCCUUUUCUUAUAUUGAAGCUCAUUGAAUCUUGACCGUUCAUUUAUGAAUAUUACACUUAAUUAUAUCCGUUAAAAGAAAGGGAAACUUAAUUAAUGCUAACAUUUAUAAAAAUUCCUUAUAUGGCAAUAUGCGUAUCCACCACCUGCCCCUUUAGAUUAUCAUUUAGAGUUAGUGAAAUAGAAGAUGCUGUUAUCUUUACUAUUACAAAAAAAUAUAACCGCGUUUGGUGCAUGAGUUAAUCAUACACAAUAAAAUUGUGGAAUUGUAUUAGAUUUUUGAGAAAAUACCACUUGAGCUACAUUCAGGGAGGCUCAUGUGGUAUCAUACUUGCAGGUAGGUUGCCUAUAUGCCCUAGGUUGGUGCUUCAAGCCUCCUCACACGUAAAUGAUUUCCAUAAUUAAUGUUACACUAUAUAUUAACACCUUUCCAGUGAGUUUUGCAGGUCAUAUCUCCAUCAACCGAGGUGCUGUCCUCUCUGUGAACCCAUGCCUACGGCAGGCCUCUUAAAGCAGUUGGGCUCUCAGCAAAUUCAGAAGGAUAAAACUCCGCCAUGGGAAGAAUACCUUACAUUGUUAAGGUUUCAACUGCCUCAUUGACAAAAGAGAGAUUUGGAGAUUGGCCACAUCUUCUCUUUUGCAUGCUAAUAUUGGACGCUUUAUGGUCAGUUGUUAUUCUUUGAAUUCUGAUGGACCUACGAUGGAGAAUUUAAGCGGUCCAAGGAGAUUCCUUGUAGUUUUCUUCACCUCUGCUCUUUCAAGUAACAACUUUUAAACUCGUUACAGUACCUUAUAAAUUGCUUGUUCUGCAAAGCACCUGCUGUUGGUGCAUUAGGUGCAAUCUUUGGAUUAGUAAGUCAUCUCGAACAUAUUCGCAAAAUAAGAUUAAUGUUCUUAAGAACCUUUUCCAACUAAUGAUUGUCCGCUUUUAAAAUCUAGGUUUUCUUUCUUUUCGUUUUUUUUGCUUGGGAAAUUAAUUGUUUGCUUUUAUCGCCCGAAUUUGUCUCAUUUGACAAUCUCUUGGCUGUCAAAGUUGGUUUUGUUGCGGUGUUUGUCUUGAGACAGAGGUAUGAUCAGAGAUAACCAAGAAGAUCUGCAGCACAUGGCACAAGUUAUUUUCCCAAACACGGUAUGAUUCAAAGCUUUUGCAAUUCAAUAUUUGAGAUUUGGAGGAACCGUAUGAAGCCAUGUCAAUAAACCCGUCUCAUAUAUACCGAAUGCAGUCCCUAGAGUUGUUGCCUUAGUAAGUCUAGAUUUAUUCAAGUUUCUGUUAUGUUACUGGUGUGAUACAAUGACUACUCUGAAAAAAGGUGUAGUCUCUACCGUCCUCAAGCGGACUUUUCUUAACGCAUCAAAUGCUUUUGCGCCUGCAUUUCGGAUGUUAGUAAUGAAUGUUGAUGAUGCAUGCUAUUGGGCUUAUGUCAAUAGGCAUUGAUAAUUGGGGACACGUAAGUUUUAACUAUUACACGUGUGCUUGUAGUAUACCGCUAUUUAAAGUAACGGUUACGUAUCAUAAGAAUCACCAUACUUCUUCGUUAAUACUGACAGUUAGAGUUUUACUUCCGAAAUUGUUCAAAAUCUAAACUUACAAUUUCAGCUAUGUGGCGUCUUGGAGGAGCACCAGUGUCCUGGCUUAUAGGACCUACAUGGAAGUACGAUUUUGACUCAGUCAAAGAAAACUAGGUGCCGCUACAAGUUACUGGUUCUUCAAAGCACCCGCAGUUGGUACAUCAGGCGCAAUAAUUGGAUGAGUAAGUUGUACAAGCCCAAUUAUGCCCAGCCCAAACUAAAAGACCAAACCCAAUUAAAUACAAAUCCUAAAGCCCAAAUUCUAGCCCCCUGCAGAGAAGAGAAAACAGCAGUAGCCCUCAAGCUUCAGCAGCACACUCGGCCAACCAAUAGUCUCCUCGCGCACCACCACCGGCAUAUGCUCCCUUCAUGCGUCUGACACACCCAUACCCUGCAAACACCAACAAAAACAGCAGCCGCAACAGAGGAAUGGUUGCAUUUUUUUAUUUGUUAUUAUAAUCAGUUAUAAAACCGAAGGGAGAAAUUUUGUAAAGGGGAGAGGAAGAAAAAAAAAGAAGGAACACCAGCAAUCAAAAAAUAUAUACAAAAGGUUCAUAUUCGAGUUUA